ensembl:lncRNA novel transcript
GACUGGUUCAGGCAUGUGGCUGCUUAUCUAACUGUGAGUGAUGGCUGUCACUAUUCACUGUGGGACAGGUAUCAAAUGUCAGCAAUCUCUUCUACUGCCAAUUUGCUGUUUGUUUUUCUCAACUCUUCUCCAUGUUGAAUCCUGGAAGUUAUUGAAACAAUCCUUGAUCAUUGCUUUUAGUCUCUAGUUGUUGUUAGGCAAAAGGAUUUGCGGCUCCUCAUCAGAAUAGCAAGUGAAUAAAGAGCAUGGAUUAUGGAAUCAGA